rnacentral:rRNA from 1 species
UACGUAGGGUGCAAGCGUUAAUCGGAAUUACUGGGCGUAAAGCGUGCGCAGGCGGUUUGGUAAGACAGAUGUGAAAUCCCCGGGCUUAACCUGGGAAUUGCAUUUGUGACUGCCCGGCUAGAGUGUGUCAGAGGGGGGUAGAAUUCCGACGUGUAGCAGUGAAAUGCGUAGAGAUGUGGAGGAAUACCGAUGGCGAAGGCAGCCCCCCUGGGAUAACACUGACGCUCAUGCACGAAAGCGUGGGGAGCAAACAGG